rnacentral:rRNA from 1 species
UACGUAGGGUGCGAGCGUUGUCCGGAAUUAUUGGGCGUAAAGAGCUCGUAGGCGGUCUGUCGCGUCUGCUGUGAAAACUCGGGGCUUAACCCCGGGCCUGCAGUGGGUACGGGCAGACUAGAGUGCGGUAGGGGAGACUGGAAUUCCUGGUGUAGCGGUGAAAUGCGCAGAUAUCAGGAGGAACACCGGUGGCGAAGGCGGGUCUCUGGGCCGUAACUGACGCUGAGGGGCGAAAGCAUGGGGAGCGAACAGG